ACGGGUAUUGUUGAAUCAGUUUAGUUUUCUUGACACAUGAUUUGGCAGAUACUUUGUGUCCAUUCGAAUCCUCAAUCUCUAAUGUGAACUCUCAUACUUUUUCCAAUGAAAUUGGACACUCCUAGCCUUUGAUGUUGCCAACCAUAGCUUACGAUACAGACGGGUAUUGUUGAAUCAGUUUAGUUUUCUUGAUUCAUGUUUUGGCAGACAUUUUGUGUCCAUUCGAUUCCUCAAUCUCUAAUGUGAACUCUCAUACUUUUUCCAAUCAAAUUGGACACUCCUAGCCUUUGAUGUUGCCAACCCUAGCUUACGAUACAGACGGGUAUUGUUGAAUCAGUUUAGUUUUCUUGACACAUGUUUUGGCAGAUACUUUGUGUCCAUUCGAAUCCUCAAUCUCUAAUGUGAACUCUCAUACUUUUUCCAAUCAAAUUGGACACUCCUAGCCUUUUAUGUGGCCAACCCUAGCUCACGCUACAGACAAGUGUUGUUGAAUCAGUUUAGUUUUCUUGACUCAUGUUUUGGCAGAUAUUUUGUGUCCAUUCGAAUCCUCAAUAUCUAAUGUGAAGCCUCAUACUUUUUCCACUCAAACUGGAAACUUCUAGCCUUUGAUGGGGCCAACCCUAGCUCACGGUACAGACGGAUAUUGUUGAAUCUGUUCAAUUUUUUUGACUCAUGUUUUGGCAGAUCUUUUGUGUCCAUUCGAAUCCUCAAUCUCUAAUGUGAACUCUCAUACUUUUUCCAAUGAAAUUGGACACUCAUAGCCUUUGAUGUUGCCAACCAUAGCUUACGAUACAGACGGUUAUUGUUGAAUCAGUUUAAUUUUCUUGAUUCAUGUUUUGGCAGACAUUUUGUGUCCAUUCGAAUCCUCAAUCUCUAAUGUGAACUCUCAUACUUUUUCCAAUCAAAUUGGACACUCCUAGCCUUGUAUGUGGCCAACCCUAGUUCACGCUACAGACAAGUGUUGUUGAAUCAGUUUAGUUUUCUUGAUUCAUGUUUUGGCAGAUAUUUUGUGUCCAUUUGAAUCCUCAAUAUCUAACGUGAACUCUCAUACUUUUUCCAAUCAAAUUGGACACUCCUAGCCUUUGAUGUUGCCAACCCUAGCUUACGAUACAGACGGCUAUUGUUGAAUCAGUUCAAAUUUUUUGACUCAUGUUUUGGCAGAUCUUUUGUGUCCAUUCGAAUCCUCAAUCUCUAACGUGAACUCUUAUACUUUUUCCAGUCAAAUUGGACACUCCUAGCCUUUGAUGUUGCCAACCCUAGGUCACGGUACAGACAAGUGUUGUUGAAUCAGUUCAAAUUUUUUGACUCAUGUUUUGGCAGAUCUUUUGUGUCCAUUCGAAUCCUCAAUCUCUAAUGUGAACUCUUAUACUUUUUCCAGUCAAAUUGGACACUCCUAUCCUUUUAUGUGGCCAACCCUAGCUCACGCAACAGACAAGUGUUGUUGAAUCAGUUUAAUUUUCUUGAUUCAUGUUUUGGCAGAUAUUUUGUGUCCAUUCGAAUCCUCAAUCUCUAAUGUGAAGCCUCAUACUUUUUCCACUCAAAUUAGAUACUCCUAGUCUUUUAUUUAGCCAACCCUAGCUCACGGUACAGACGGGUAUUGUUGAAUCAGUUCAAUUUUUUUGACUCAUGUUUUGGCAGAUCUUUUGUAUCCAUUCGAAUCCUCAAUCUCUAACGUGAACUCUCAUACUUUUUCCAAUCAAAUUGGACACUUCUAGCUUUGAUGUUGCCAAACCUAGCUUACGAUACAGACGGGUAUUGUUGAAUCAGUUUAGUUUUCUUGACUCAUGUUUUGGCAGAUACUUUGUGUCCAUUCGAAUCCUCAAUCUCUAAUGUGAACUCUCAUACUUUUUCCACUCAAAUUGGAAACUCCUAGCGUUUGAUGUGGCCAACCCUAGCUCACGGUACAGACGGGUAUUGUUGAAUCAGUUCAAUUUUUUUGACUCAUGUUUUGGCAGAUCUUUUGUGUCCAUUCGAAUCCUGAAUGUCUAAUAUGAAGCCUCAUACUUUUUCCACUCAAAUUGGAUACUCCUAGUCUUUUAUUUAGCCAACCCUAGCUCACGGUACAGACGGGUAUUGUUGAAUCAGUUCAAUUUUUUUGACUCAUGUUUUGGCAGAUAUUUUGUGUCCAUUCGAAUCCUCAAUCUCUAAUGUGAACUCUCAUACUUUUUCCAAUCAAAUUGGACACUCCUAGCCUUGUAUGUGGCCAACCCUAGCUCAGGGUACAGAUAGGUAUUGUUGAAUCAGUUCAAUUUUGUUGACUCAUGUUUUGGCAGAUCUUUUGUGUCCAUUCGAAUCCUCAAUCUCUAAUGUGAACUCUCAUACUUUUUCCAAUCAAAUUGGACACUCCUAGCCUUGUAUGUGGCCAACCCUAGCUCACGCUACAGACAAGUGUUGUUGAAUCAGUUUAGUUUUGUUGAUUCAUGUUCUGGCAGAUAUUUUGUGUCCAUUCGAAUCCUCAAUCUCUAAUGUGAAGCCUCAUACUUUUUCCACUCAAAUUAGAUACUCCUAGUCUUUUAUUUAGCCAACCCUAGCUCACGGUACAGACGGGUAUUGUUAAAUCAGUUCAAUUUUUUUGACUCAUGUUUUGGCAGAUCUUUUGUAUCCAUUCGAAUCCUCAAUCUCUAACGUGAACUCUCAUACUUUUUCCAAUCAAAUUGGACACUCCUAGCCUUUGAUGUUGCCAACCCUAGGUUACGAUACAGACGGGUAUUGUUGAAUCAGUUUAGUUUUCUUGACUCAUGUUUUGGCAGAUACUUUGUGUCCAUUCGAAUCCUCAAUCUCUAAUGUGAACUCUCAUACUUUUUCCACUCAAAUUGGAAACUCCUAGCGUUUGAUGUGGCCAACCCUAGCUCACGGUACAAACGGGUAUUGUUGAAUCAGUUCAAUUUUUUUGACUCAUGUUUUGGCAGAUCUUUUGUGUCCAUUCGAAUCCUGAAUCUCUAAUGUGAACUCUCAUACUUUUUCCAAUCAAAUUGGACACUCCUAGCCUUUUAUAUGGCCAACCCUAGCUCACGCUACAGACAAGUGUUGUUGAAUCAGUUUUGUUUUCUUGAUUCAUGUUUUGGCAGAUAUUUUGUGUCCAUUCGAAUCCUCAAUCUCUAAUGUGAACUCUCAUACUUUUUCCAAUCAAAUUGGACACUCCUAGCCUUUUUUGUGGCCAACCCUAGCUCACGCUACGGACAAGUGUUGUUGAAUCAGUUUAGUUUUCUUGAUUCAUGUUUUGGCAGAUAUUUUGUGUCCAUUCGAAUCCUCAAUCUCUAAUGUGAAGCCUCAUACUUUUUCCACUCAAAUUAGAUACUCCUAGUCUUUUAUUUAGCCAACCCUAGCUCACGGUACAGACGGGUAUUGUUAAAUCAGUUCAAUUUUUUUGACUCAUGUUUUGGCAGAUCUUUUGUAUCCAUUCGAAUCCUCAAUCUCUAACGUGAACUCUCAUACUUUUUCCAAUGAAAUUGGACACUCCUAGCCUUUGAUGUUGCCAACCAUAGCUUACGAUACAGACGGUUAUUGUUGAAUCAGUUUAGUUUUCUUGAUUCAUGUUUUGGCAGACAUUUUGUGUCCAUUCGAAUCCUCAAUCUCUAAUGUGAACUCUCAUACUUUUUCCAAUGAAAUUGGACACUCCUAGCCUUUGAUGUUGCCAACCAUAGCUUACGAUACAGACGGGUAUUGUUGAAUCAGUUUAGUUUUCUUGAUUCAUGUUUUGGCAGACAUUUUGUGUCCAUUCGAUUCCUCAAUCUCUAAUGUGAACUCUCAUACUUUUUCCAAUCAAAUUGGACACUCCUAGCCUUUGAUGUUGCCAACCCUAGCUUACGAUACAGACGGGUAUUGUUGAAUCAGUUUAGUUUUCUUGACACAUGUUUUGGCAGAUACUUUGUGUCCAUUCGAAUCCUCAAUCUCUAAUGUGAACUCUCAUACUUUUUCCAAUCAAAUUGGACACUCCUAGCCUUUUAUGUGGCCAACCCUAGCUCACGCUACAGACAAGUGUUGUUGAAUCAGUUUAGUUUUCUUGACUCAUGUUUUGGCAGAUAUUUUGUGUCCAUUCGAAUCCUCAAUAUCUAAUGUGAAGCCUCAUACUUUUUCCACUCAAACUGGAAACUUCU
rnacentral:lncRNA from 1 species